AGUGGCUUUUGUGUAUGUACCAUUCCAAAUUUAUUCAUUAGUUUGAAUCUAUUCAGUGAUGAUUAUGUAUGAACUAAUUGUAGUUGGAUUAAAAUAGAUGUUUUAGCCAAAUUGUUCUUCCGUAGGGUUCAUGGUUUUUGUAGCAUGAUGUCUGAAUUAAUGGUGAAUGAUUAAACAACUCAUGGUUUUUGUUGUUGAUUCCAUUAAAGUGGUGCUUCUUUAGGGCUUUAUGUAGAAAGAAUGGAAGCUAACCUGAUUCUUCGAUGGUGUUUAUCCUGACAUCUUGUUUAUUUUCUUGGUUUCUUAAGAUCAUCUUUUCUGAACAUUGGGUGAGAAGCUAGAAGAGAAUGGUACUGCGAAUAUUCAGGACAAAAGAGAAUAUAUGAGAAGCUAGAAGAGAAUGUACAAAUGCUCUCGUCCAUGGCAGGAAUAUAUAUGGAGCUAGGCCAAUAUUCAGAUAUUGAUGUCCAGGUCCCUGAGUUGUUUAAUGUUGAUUUUGCUCAGGCACGAUCCAUCUUAGGGAUCAACGAGAGGUGGCUCAAGCGAUACGGGAUGGUGACGAGCAGCGGCGACCACAG